CAAUCCUCCGUCGCUGAAG
rnacentral:snRNA from 1 species